GUCUCCCGCGCCGCCCAGGCCGGAGGGCGGGCUCCGCUCCCGGAGGAGGGGACAGGGCGGGCGGCGGGGCGCACGGAGGGGCGGGCCGGGCUGCGCUCCUUCCAGCGCCGCUCCGGACCCGCGGGCAGGAGACCCGCGACCAAGCUCAGCCACUGCAGGCGCGUUCGCAAGCUCCCAGCGCCAAGCCCGGUUCCACCAGGCAUCCGAGUCCCCGCGCAGCGAACGCCGGCCUCGGCCGAGCCGGGUCACCAGACCCAAGGGGAAGCGCGCAUCCCCGCGAGCUCUGGGAGACUCAGCUGCACCGAGGAUCCCCGGGGCGCAGACCGUGGAGCUGGAGCCGGUGGAAGGUGGCUGCUACAAGAGGGCGGGACAGUAAAUGAGGAGAAGGAGUUAGACUCCUCCUUUCAGAAGAUGGG